rnacentral:rRNA from 1 species
AGCGAACGCUGGCGGCAGGCUUAACACAUGCAAGUCGAGCGGGCACCUUUCGGGGUGUCAGCGGCGGACGGGUGAGUAACGCGUGGGAACGUGCCCUCUGGUUCGGAAUAACUCAGGGAAACUUGAGCUAAUACCGGAUACGCCCUUUUGGGGAAAGGCUUGCUGCCGGAGGAUCGGCCCGCGUCUGAUUAGCUAGUUGGUGAGGUAACGGCUCACCAAGGCGACGAUCAGUAGCUGGUCUGAGAGGAUGAUCAGCCACACUGGGACUGAGACACGGCCCAGACUCCUACGGGAGGCAGCAGUGGGGACUAUUGGACAAUGGGCGCAAGCCUGAUCCAGCCAUGCCGCGUGAGUGAUGAAGGCCUUAGGGUUGUAAAGCUCUUUUAUCCGGGACGAUAAUGACGGUACCGGAGGAAUAAGCCCCGGCUAACUUCGUG